AGAAAUAAGGAAAAAAAUUAACAAUAUGUACAUCAAAAUAACAUAUUGUUGUUUUUCUCCCAAAUCAUGUGAUAUAUUAAAGACUAUUAGAGUUGUACAUUUGAAUGGUCAUGUAGAGGAUUUUGAUCAUCCUAUUAGUGUACAUGAACUCAUGGCCAAAUCUCAAAAACACUUUGUCUUCACUCAUGCCCAACUUUUAUCUGCUGCUUCAAAGCCUCUCAACCCUGAUACUAAGUUAGAAUAAGGUCAUAUUUACUAUUUAUUGCCUAAAUCCUUAUUUCAAUCAAGUGUUUCUCCAAUGGAUUUAGUUCCAAUAGCUAGAAAACUUAGUUGCAUAGCUAAAAGUGGUGCAACUAACACAACUUCGUGCAAAUUUGGAGAAAGAUCAAAUAAAUCGCGAGCAUGGAAGCCAGUUUUGUCUACCAUUAGAGAAUGGUCGUUUAAUAGGAGAAGUGAAUCGGAUUUGCAAAGAAAUGAAUCGCAAGUGCAAGAAACUAAUUCAUAAUUUGUGAUUUUUUGAAGUUUUUCAUUUGUUCUGUUUGCUUUCUAAGAGUCUUGUUCUGUUUUUUUGGGGCUUUUUAAAUGGUUCUGUUUAUGUAAGAUUUUUUUUUUGAGUUUUGAUAAUUAAUGAACAAAAUGAGUUUUUGUACAAGUGAUAUUGUUAGUUUGUUAUGAUAACAAA